GUAGGGAAUCUUCCGCAAUGGGCGAAAGCCUGACGGAGCAACGCCGCGUGAGUGAUGAAGGUCUUCGGAUCGUAAAACUCUGUUAUUAGGGAAGAACAAGUGCGUAGGUAACUAUGCGCACCUUGACGGUACCUAAUCAGAAAGCCACGGCUAACUACGUGCCAGCAGCCGCGGUAAUACGUAGGUGGCAAGCGUUAUCCGGAAUUAUUGGGCGUAAAGCGCGCGUAGGCGGUUUUUUAAGUCUGAUGUGAAAGCCCACGGCUCAACCGUGGAGGGUCAUUGGAAACUGGAAAACUUGAGUGCAGAAGAGGAAAGUGGAAUUCCAUGUGUAGCGGUGAAAUGCGCAGAGAUAUGGAGGAACACCAGUGGCGAAGGCGACUUUCUGGUCUGCAACUGACGCUGAUGUGCGAAAGCGUGGGGAUCAAACAGGAUUAGAAACCCUUGUAGUCC
rnacentral:rRNA from 1 species